GAUUGAACGCUGGUGGCAGGCCUAACACAUGCAAGUCGAGCGGCAUCGAGUGAUCGCAGUUUACUGAGUUCAUGUCGGCGAGCGGCGGACGGGUGAGUAAAGUCUGGGAAUCUGGCCGAAGGAGGGGGAUAACUGCUGGAAACGGCAGCUAAUACCGCAUGAAGUCGCGAGACCAAAGUGGGGGACCUUCGGGCCUCACGCCUUCGGAUGAGCCCAGAUGAGAUUAGCUGGUAGGUAAGGUAAAGGCUCACCUAGGCGACGAUCUCUAGCGGGUCUGAGAGGAUAGCCCGCCACACUGGAACUGAGACACGGUCCAGACUCCUACGGGAGGCAGCAGUGGGGAAUAUUGCACAAUGGGCGAAAGCCUGAUGCAGCCAUG
rnacentral:rRNA from 1 species